UACGGAGGGUGCAAGCGUUAUCCGGAUUUACUGGGUUUAAAGGGUGCGUAGGUGGGUUGGUAAGUCAGUGGUGAAAUACUUUCGCUUAACGAAGGAACUGCCAUUGAUACUACCAGUCUUGAAUACAGUGGAGGUAGGCGGAAUGCGUCAUGUAGCGGUGAAAUGCUUAGAUAUGACGCAGAACACCAAUUGCGAAGGCAGCUCGCUGGGACGUUACUGACGCUGAGACGCGAAAGCGUGGGGAGCAAACAGG
rnacentral:rRNA from 1 species